UGGUGGCGACCGGCGCACGGGUGAGUAACGCGUAUGCAACCCAUCUAUCAGAGGGGAAUAACCCGGCGAAAGUCGGACUAAUACCGCAUAAAACAGGGGCACCGCAUGGUGAUAUUUGUUAAAGAAAUUCGCUGAUAGAUGGGCAUGCGUUCCAUUAGGUAGUUGGUGAGGUAACGGCUCACCAAGCCGACGAUGGAUAGGGGAACUGAGAGGUUGGUCCCCCACACUGGUACUGAGACACGGACCAGACUCCUACGGGAGGCAGCAGUGAGGAAUAUUGGUCAAUGGGCGAGAGCCUGAACCAGCCAAGUCGCGUGAAGGAAGAAGGAUCUAUGGUUCGUAAACUUCUUUUGCAGGGGAAUAAAGUGCAGGACGUGUCCUGUUUUGUAUGUACCCUGAGAAUAAGGAUCGGCUAACUCCGUGCCAGCAGCCGCGGUAAUACGGAGGAUCCGAGCGUUAUCCGGAUUUAUUGGGUUUAAAGGGUGCGUAGGUGGUUUGAUAAGUCAGCGGUGAAAGUUUGCAGCUUAACUGUAAAAAUGCCGUUGAAACUGUCGGACUUGAGUGUAAAUGAGGUAGGCGGAAUGCGUGGUGUAGCGGUGAAAUGCUUAGAUAUCACGAAGAACUCCGAUUG
rnacentral:rRNA from 1 species